GGAAGGCAGGUGGGAGAGGAGAGUAGAGCAGGUUAUGAGAAUGGGUAGGAUUCUGAUGUAAAGAAAGGAAGAAGAAAAGAUCUGCUCAAACUUAAAACUGGACACUGGAAAAGACAGUGACAUAAAAUAGUUAGGUCCCUAUGUACAGGUCUUCUGUCACCUCAGAGCUCUUCUCUAAGAUGGGUAGGAUAUGAAGAGAAUAGAUUUGCUCUCUCCAUACGGUGACUUAAUGGCCAAAAGGAGUAGCUCCUUGCUUAGAGAGGACAACUUGGACCGCAAUGUUUUCAGAACUUAGGGAAACUAACCCUGCAGAGCUAGGGUUUAUAACCCAUGGUCCACGACUGGGCCUCUGGACUGGAGAACUUUUGGAAGCCAUUUUGUGAAUGUGUGCAAUACUUCUAGAAGAGGCCAAUAACUCUACCAUGUUCUUACAUGGGUUUAUGACUCCUAAAGUUUAAGAACCACUGGUAUAGACAGAGUACAUUUCAAGGUUGGCAAAAGCUGCCCUGAAAACUUUUAUCAACAACUGAUUCUGAUUCCUUCAGCUGGCUUGACCAUGACUAGAGGGCAAGAAGUCCUUUGGAGAGGUGGGAAGUAGCAACAUUUGUAUCAAAAGACCCAGAUGCCUGGACCUGGGCUCUCAGAAAUGGCUGAAACUUUGCUCUAAGCCCAUAUCAUCUUCAGAAGAGGGAGGAAUUGUCCUUCCAUAUUAUUCCCCAGGAAAAGAGACGUAAGUAUGCUCCAUUUUUAUCUGUGUUUGGUACUACCUUAAGGGGGUCAACAGAAUAGAAGCUGUAUUUCAUCACUACAAAGUUAAAAACAAAAACAAACAAAAAAAAUGACACAAGGUCAACAUCACAGUCCACAUUCCCAAACCCCUGUUCAGGUCAUGUUGUCUUUCUGGUUUAUAUCUCCACAUUUCUUGGAAUUUGUAACCGACAUUUAAAUGAACUCUUAUGCACUCUGCACUUUGAGGUAAAUUUGGUUGUAAGCAAAAACAACUUCAAAAGUCUGAAGUCCUUACUCCCUUUUGGACCCUAAGCACCCAAAAGAUGUUCUGUCAACCCCCAAACUCUGGAAUGUCUUCCCAGAAAAGCAAGAGAAAAGCAAGUCUAUGGAGAAAACUCCUUUGUUGAAAUUAUUUGGAUGUUAUAGCUGGACUUGGUUACCUUGUUCUCAAGGAAGUACUUCUUGACAUUUAAGUAAAUAAUGUGCCUUA